CCUACGGGGGGCAGCAGUGGGGAAUAUUGGGCAAUGGGCGCAAGCCUGACCCAGCAACGCCGCGUGAAGGAAGAAGGCUUUCGGGUUGUAAACUUCUUUUCUCAGGGACGAAGCAAGUGACGGUACCUGAGGAAUAAGCCACGGCUAACUACGUGCCAGCAGCCGCGGUAAUACGUAGGUGGCAAGCGUUAUCCGGAUUUACUGGGUGUAAGGGGCGUGUAGGCGGGAAAGCAAGUCAGAUGUGAAAACCAUGGGCUCAACCUGUGGACUGCAUUUGAAACUGUUUUUCUUGAGUACUGGAGAGGCAGACGGAAUUCCUAGUGUAGCGGUGAAAUGCGUAGAUAUUAGGAAGAACACCAGUGGCGAAGGCGGUCUGCUGGGCAGCAACUGACGCUGAGGCGCGAAAGCGUGGGGAGCAAACAGGAUUAGAUACCCGGGUAGUC
rnacentral:rRNA from 1 species